CUGUAAGCCUUGAAUCUACCUUUAUGGCCAAACUUGACCAUUGCACCCUGAAACUGAUGGAUGUAGUCUUAUCAAGGAGGGGAGCUUCAGGAGUGAGAAUCAGGCAGAUCAAGGACAUGCUUCUUGAGCACAAUACAGUUGAAGUACGCAGAGAAGUAGCCAUCCGCUGCCUUGCCGUGUAACUUGGAGAGAAGGAAGAUGACCUUUUCAAGGAGUUUGCUAAGAGUUUGAGGCAGGUCUUGAUAGGCAAGUGAUGAAAAUUGCCAUCAUCGGUGACCAGUCCACCCCAGGAUCUGACCACAAGAUGGCAACCAUCGUGGUCGAGGGAACCAAAAUCCUGGCGGGAAAGGAUAUCCCAAGGUGCUGUGCUUUGCUGAUGGGCAUAAUAUAUGCUCUGAAUCUGAGCUAUCGUAAGGAACUUAAAUAUACUUUUGAAGUGUUUCAGAAGCUGUUCCUUGAACUUGAUGGACUGAAAGCCAGUGCAAAAGUAAUGAGUCUCAAGAACAGUAUUUUCUGAAGAUUCCACUUGUUUCAGAGCACUAUCAGAUUUUAUUCAGAUUAUGUUGUUUUGUAUUUUGAAGUCCACUGAAGAGGCUACAAAACUGAUAGUAUAACAAAAGAGGGAACGCAAGACAAAAUUUUGGAUUUAUUUUCUGUGAAGUUGCUUUGGGUAUGCUGUAUAUGCAACAAAACUUGUCUUUACAGUUGACAAAAUAAAGAUGAUGUAAAAUGCUAUUUUUGUGUUUUGGAAAUUAAU